AACCCUUGUUCUGUGUUGCCAGCAUGCCCUUCGGGGUGAUGGGGACUCACAGGAGACCGCCGGGGUCAACUCGGAGGAAGGUGGGGACGACGUCAAGUCAUCAUGCCCCUUAUGUCUUGGGCUGCACACGUGCUACAAUGGCCGGUACAAUGAGCUGCGAUACCGCGAGGCGGAGCGAAUCUCAAAAAGCCGGUCUCAGUUCGGAUUGGGGUCUGCAACUCGACCCCAUGAAGUCGGAGUUGCUAGUAAUCGCAGAUCAGCAUUGCUGCGGUGAAUACGUUCCCGGGCCUUGUACACACCGCCCGUCACGUCACGAAAGUCGGUAACACCCGAAGCCGGUGGCCCAACCCUUG
rnacentral:rRNA from 1 species